ACAUGAAAUGAUGAGAAAAUUUUCAUAUUUAAACAGUUAUCCCUGUCUUAAGAUAUUGUGUCGAGAUUUUUUACUCUGAAAUUUGU
rnacentral:snoRNA from 1 species